rnacentral:rRNA from 1 species
CCUACGGGAGGCAGCAGUGAGGAAUAUUGGUCAAUGGACGAGAGUCUGAACCAGCCAAGUAGCGUGAAGGAUGACUGCCCUAUGGGUUGUAAACUUCUUUUAUAUGGGAAUAAAACGUUCCACGCGUGCGCUUUUGUAUGUACCAUAUGAAUAAGGAUCGGCUAACUCCGUGCCAGCAGCCGCGGUAAUACGGAGGAUCCGAGCGUUAUCCGGAUUUAUUGGGUUUAAAGGGUGCGUAGGUGGGUUGUUAAGUCAGGUGUGAAAGUUUGCGGCUCAACCGUAAGAGUGCAGUUGAAACUGGCGGUCUGGAGAUGGCGAGAGGUAUGCGGAAUGCGCGGUGUAGCGGUGAAAUGCUUAGAUAUUGCGCAGAACUCCGAUUGCGAAGGCAGCAUACCGGCGGCGAUCUGACGCUGAGGCACGAAAGCGUGGGUAUCGAACAGGAUUAGAUACCCCUGUAGUC